rnacentral:rRNA from 1 species
AGAGUUUGAUCCUGGCUCAGAACGAACGCUGGCGGCGUGGAUAAGACAUGCAAGUCGAACGCUAAUUUCGGGGUAGCAAUAUUCCGGAGUUGGAGUGGCGAAAGGGUGCGUAACAUGUGGGUAAUCUGCCGUGAAGUUUGGGAUAACUUGCUGAAAGGCGAGCUAAUACCGGAUGUAAUCUCUGGGAGACAUCUCUUGGUGAUUAAAGUUGGGGACCGCAAGGCCUGACGCUUCACGAUGAGCCCGCAUCCUAUCAGCUAGUUGGUGAGGUAACGGCUCACCAAGGCUAAGACGGGUAGCUGGUCUGAGAGGACGACCAGCCACACUGGAACUGAGACACGGUCCAGACACCUACGGGUGGCAGCAGUCGAGAAUUUUUCACAAUGGGCGAAAGCCUGAUGGAGCGACGCCACGUGGGGGAUGAAGGGCUUCGGUCCGUAAACCCCUGUCAUUUGCGAACAAACCUUUCCACCUAACACGUGGAGAGCUGAUUGUAGCGAAAGAGGAAGGGACGGCUAACUCUGUGCCAGCAGCCGCGGUAAUACAGAGGUCCCAAGCGUUGUUCGGAUUUACUGGGCGUAAAGGGUGCGUAGGUGGCGAGGUAAGUUUGAUGUGAAAUCUCCGAGCUCAACUCGGAAACGGCAUUGAAUACUAUCCCGCUUGAGGGUCGGAGGGGAGACUGGAAUUCUCGGUGUAGCAGUGAAAUGCGUAGAUAUCGAGAGGAACACCAGUGGCGAAGGCGAGUCUCUGGACGACUCCUGACACUGAGGCACGAAAGCUGGGGGAGCAAACAGGAUUAGAUACCCUAGUAGUCC